UACUCACAGCCACUACGAACCAGCGUGUAUCCCCGUAAACACGAAACAAUAACAUCGCGGCAUCCGCGCUGGUGGUUAGAACUCUAGUGUACAUCUUAAUUUCUGUAGUGUACAUCAUAAUUUCUGAUUGGAUGGUAUAUAAUUUAUCAUGUUCAGUUUUUUGGGUCAUUGUUGUUUCUUCUUUGCGAGACUCGCUGGGUGUGGAAGGAGUUCAUACACAAGUUUUGCAAAUGCUGUUACGUGGUCUCAAAAGGAUAUUCAAUAUUCAUAUUUUUUUGCAUUAUGUUGUUGCUAGUAAUGAUACAACUGAUUAGUUUUGUAAUGUACAUUUGAAAUAAGAGAAGCACAAUUCCCAAUAGUUGUCACUUUAUCUCAUGGUUGGUCACAUAAUGGAGCAAUGACUAAAAUAUUAUUAAGUGAAGUAACCGAGGCUGUGAUAGCCAGCUUGUGUGUUCAGGUGUGAUGGCUUGAAAAAUGGUUAAAGGCAUGCUGAAAAUUAAACAAAGAAAGUUCAUUCUAAAGUGCUACUGGAAGACUGAGAAUUUAAGUGGAAUGCAAAGUUUCAACAAAAUGCACCAACUUGACUCACAAUUACUCAUUUGUGAGAUAAAUUUGAGGAAGCAGGAACUGUCCAGAGUGCCAACAAGAACUAUUCUAGAAGACUAUGAUCAUCCACAGUUCCACAAGAGAAAGAAAAGUCAUUGAAAGGUUUCAAUAAUCUCCUAGAAAGUCUGUGCGGCAAGGGGAAUUCCAAAG